AUUAAGGAUUUUUUAAAAUCCAACAAAAUACUAUCAAAUUAGAAUU
rfam:Picoides pubescens contig95778, whole genome shotgun sequence.